GUGCUCACUUCAGCAGCACAUAUACUAACAUUGGAACAACACAGAGAGAGAAGAUUAGCAUGGCCCCUGCACAAGGAUGACAUGCAAAUUCAUGAAGUGUUCCAUAUUUUU